ACGAACGCUGGCGGCGUGCUUAACACAUGCAAGUCGAACGGAAAGGCCCUGCUUUUGUGGGGUGCUCGAGUGGCGAACGGGUGAGUAACACGUGAGUAACCUGCCCUUGACUUUGGGAUAACUUCAGGAAACUGGGGCUAAUACCGGAUAGGAGCUCCUGCUGCAUGGUGGGGGUUGGAAAGUUUCGGCGGUUGGGGAUGGACUCGCGGCUUAUCAGCUUGUUGGUGGGGUAGUGGCUUACCAAGGCUUUGACGGGUAGCCGGCCUGAGAGGGUGACCGGCCACAUUGGGAUUGAGAUACGGCCCAGACUCCUACGGGAGGCAGCAGUGGGGAAUAUUGCACAAUGGGCGGAAGCCUGAUGCAGCAACGCCGCGUGCGGGAUGACGGCCUUCGGGUUGUAAACCGCUUUCGCCUGUGACGAAGCGUGAGUGACGGUAAUGGGUAAAGAAGCACCGGCUAACUACGUG
rnacentral:rRNA from 1 species